rnacentral:tRNA from 1 species
UCCGGGGUCGUCCAACGGCAGGACAACGGCCUUUGGAGCCGUAUAUCCUGGUUCGAAUCCAGGCCCCGGAGCCA